AAUUCCUCACUCUAGCUAUAACACACCUCUUUUUUUCUGUGUCCUUUUUUAUCAUGACCUUCUUUAAAGAUACAUUGUGUUAAGGGAGGAACAUUGGCACUUGGUGGAGUUUUGGGUACUUUUCUGUUCUCUGGUGGUUUCUGUAUUUGGAUGGAAAUAAACAGAGGUGCUGAACUUCCAUAUUUGAAAUGGAUCGCCUUUGAACUUGAGAGUGUAAUCUUUUGAUGGAAUGCUGCCAGUAUACAAGGAAGAGCAGUGUGGUGGCCUGCAACCCAGAAGUGAUGUGAAAGAAUAGCAGAUGAGAGAGAUCUGUUCCUGUGGGUUCACAGGCAUAGGCCCAAGCACAAGCACAGUGAAUGAAGCCCAGGCACAAGGGAGCAGAGAGGAAGACUGUGGAACACAAUAAGAGCACCAAGAAGCAUCUCGUCCAGUUGAGCAACCAUCCUACCUGUACGGAAACACAGCCCUGCAGCUUCAGCUGGA